rnacentral:rRNA from 1 species
CCUACGGGUGGCAGCAGUGGGGAAUAUUGCGCAAUGGGCGAAAGCCUGACGCAGCGACGCCGCGUGAGGGAUGAAGGUCUUCGGAUCGUAAACCUCUGUCAGCAGGGAAGAACGGUCACUGUGCUAAUCAGCAGUGAAUUGACGGUACCUGCAAAGGAAGCACCGGCUAACUCCGUGCCAGCAGCCGAGGUAAUACGGAGGGUGCGAGCGUUAAUCGGAAUUACUGGGCGUAAAGCGCUCGUAGGCGGUAUGUCAAGUCAAGGGUGAAAUCCCCGCGCUCAACGUGGGAACUGCCUUUGAAACUGGCAAACUGGAGUGUAGGAGAGGAUAGUGGAAUUCCAGGUGUAGGAGUGAAAGCCGUAGAUAUCUGGAGGAACAUCAGUGGCGAAGGCGACUAUCUGGCACAUAACUGACGCUGAGGAGCGAAAGCGUGGGUAGCAAACAGGAUUAGAUACCCGAGUAGUC